CCAAUAGCGUAUAUUAAAGUUGUUGCAGUUAAAAAGCUCGUAGUUGAAUUUCGGGAUUGACACAUCGGUCGUGCCUUACGGGGUAUGAACUGGUGUAGUCAAUUUCUCACCUUCUGGAGAACCGCGAUGCCCUUAAUUGGGUGUCACGGGGAACCAGGACCUUUACUUUGAAAAAAUUAGAGUGUUUAAAGCAGGCAUUUUGCUUGAAUCCAUUAGCAUGGAAUAAUAAAAUAGGACGGCAUGAUUCUAUUUUGUUGGUUUCUAGGAUCACCGUAAUGAUUAAUAGGGAUAGUUGGGGGCAUUAGUAUUCAAUUGUCAGAGGUGAAAUUCUUGGAUUUAUUGAAGACUAACUACUGCGAAAGCAUUUGCCAAGGAUGUUUUCAUUAAUCAAGAACGAAAGUUAGGGGAUCGAAGACGAUCAGAUACCGUCGUAGUCUUAACCAUAAACUAUGCCGACUAGGAAUCAGACGAUGUUAAUUUUUUAAUGACUCGUUUGGCACCUUACG
rnacentral:rRNA from 1 species